AAGAGAGAGAAAGUGGGAAGAGAAAGUUUAACCUUUUGCACUUUCUCCUACUCUUUCAAGUCGAGGAAAGAUCAACCAUUGUCUUUCCUUCUCUCCCUUUUCUCUCCUGGCUUCUUCCAUUCCAGUUCAAUCUGCAAAGGGGAGAGGGGAGAUCUGUUUGAUUCUCACGGAUCGCUGUGAAGCUCUUGCUUGAUAUUCGAUUUUGAUCGGUUACAAUAUAUUUGUCAUCUAGAAGAUUUGAUAUAGCCUUUGGAUUGUAUUCUGUUGGGUUUGGAUCCUUGAUCUCUGCGACAGAUGGAGGCGAUCGAGGAGUUAUCUCAGUUGGCUGAUUCCAUGCGCAAGGCGGCGGCUUUACUUGCUGACGAAGAUGUUGAUGAGCCCAGCUCUGCAUCUUCAAGAAGGCCGUCAACUUUUCUUAACGUCGUAACACUUGGAAAUGUCGGUGCUGGUAAAUCUGCUGUAUUGAACAGUUUGAUUGGACAUCCUGUUUUGCCUACUGGUGAAAAUGGAGUUACCCGGGCUCCUAUAAGCAUUGAUCUGCAGCGAGAUGGUUCUUUAAGCAGCAAAUCAAUUAUCUUGCAGAUUGAGAAUAAGUCCCAGCAAGUUUCUGCAAGUGCCUUGCGACAUUCAUUACAGGAUAGGUUGACUAAGGGUUCCUUAGGCGAGGGUCGAGAUGAAAUAUAUUUAAAGCUUCGCACAAGUACAGCACCACCUCUUAAGUUGGUUGAUCUUCCUGGGCUGGAUCAACGCAUCAUGAAUGAAUCUAUGGUUGGUGAAUAUGUGGAGCACAAUGAUGCCAUUGUGCUAGUCGUGGUACCUGCAGUUCAGGCACCUGAAAUUGCUUCAUCUCGAGCCUUAAGAACUGCAAAGGAAUAUGAUGGAGAAGGUACCCGAACCAUUGGUGUUAUUAGUAAAAUAGAUCAAGUUGCAUCAGAUCAAAAGUCUUUGGCAGCAGUUCAAGCACUUCUUUCGAAUCAGGGCCCUGCAAGAGCAUCAGAUAUUCCAUGGGUUGCUUUAAUUGGUCAAUCUGUUUCAAUAGCUACAGCACAAACUGGAUCUAAUGGUUCUGAAAAUUCUCUGGAAACUGCAUGGAGAGCAGAGAGUGAAAGUCUCAGAUCCAUUUUGACUGGAGCUCCUCAAAUUAAGCUUGGACGGAUAGCUUUGGUUGAUGCUCUAGCACAGCAAAUCCGAAAUCGGAUGAAACUCAGGCUGCCUAACCUUCUUUCUGGGUUACAAGGGAAAUCUCAGAUAGUUCAGGAUGAACUAAUGAGGCUUGGGGAGCAAAUGGUUACAACUGCAGAGGGUACACGAGCUAUAGCCUUGGAACUUUGCCGUGAGUAUGAAGAUAGGUUCCUCCAACACAUCACCACUGGUGAGGGUGCUGGUUGGAAAAUAGUUGCCAGUUUUGAUGGAAAUUUCCCUAAUAGAAUCAAGCAAUUGCCUAUUGAUAGGCACUUUGACAUCAGCAAUGUAAAGAGGAUUGUUUUAGAGGCUGAUGGUUAUCAACCAUAUCUUAUUUCCCCUGAAAAGGGUUUGAGAUCUCUCAUUAAAGGUGUUCUAGAGCUUGCAAAAGAACCAUCACGUCUUUGCGUUGAUGAGGUACAUCGGGUCCUAAUAGACAUAGUCUCAGCUGCUGCCAAUGCUACGCCGGGUCUUGCAAGGUACCCGGCUUUCAAGAGAGAGGUUGUGGCCAUUGCAACAACGGCGUUGGAAGGGUUUAAGAAUGAAGCAAAGAAAAUGGUUGUUGCCCUAGUUGAUAUGGAGCGAGCCUUUGUGCCACCUCAGCACUUUAUUCGUUUGGUACAAAGAAGAAUGGAAAGGCAACGUCGAGAAGAUGAACUGAAAAAUCGAUCUUCAAGAAAAGGGCAAGAUGCAGAGCAAUCUAUACUUAACCGGGCAACUAGCCCUCAAACGGGUGGAAGCAUGAAAUCAAUGAAAGACGAAAAGGAAAAGGAAAAGGACAAAUCAGGUCAGUCAGAGAAAGAAGGGAAAGAAGGUUCUGGUUUAAAAACUGCGGGUCCUGAAGGAGAAAUAACAGCAGGAUUUUUGUUGAAGAAAAGCACAAAAACCAAUGGUUGGACCAGACGAUGGUUUGUUCUAAAUGGGAAGACAGGAAAGCUUGGUUACACAAAAAAGCAAGAAGAAAGACUUUUUCGUGGUGUUAUUACAUUAGAGGAAUGCAACAUUGAAGAGGUUUCAGAUGAAGAGGAUCCUCCACCAAAAAGCUCAAAGGAUAAGAAGUCCAAUGGACCUGAUUCUGGGAAACCUAAACUUGUUUUCAAGAUCACGAGUAGAAUUCCAUAUAAAACUGUUUUGAAAGCGCACAGCGCUGUUCUUUUGAAGGCUGAGAAUGCAGCUGAUAAGGUUGAAUGGAUUAAUAAGAUAAGUAAUAUUAUACAAGCAAGAGGAGGGCAAAUAGCUGUUUCAUCUAAUGGUGGCCCUAUGACGAGACAGGGUCUCUCUGAUGGUUCCUUGGAUACAAUGGCACAGAGGCCAGCAGAUCCCGAAGAAGAACUACGAUGGAUGUCCCAAGAAGUCCGUGGUUAUGUUGAAGCUGUUUUGAACAGUUUAGCUGCUAAUGUACCAAAGGCGGUUGUCCUUUGCCAAGUUGAAAAAGCUAAGGAAGACAUGCUGAAUCAAUUAUAUAGUUCUGUCAGUUCUCAAAGCACAGCUAGGAUUGAGCAGCUGAUACAAGAAGAUCAGAAUGUGAAGCGAAGGAGGGAACGUUACCAAAAGCAAUCCUCACUUCUCUCAAAACUGACUCGUCAACUGAGUAUUCAUGACAAUAGUCCAGCUGCUGCCUCUAGCUGGUCAAACGGUGGUAUUGAAGAUAGUAGCAGUCCAAGAAGUAACGGUCCAGGUGAUGAUUGGAGAACUGCCUUUGAUGCGGGUGCUAAUGGCCCCAGUAGUCGUACCAGUUCAUUGAGAUCUAGAUCAAAUGGUCACUAUCGACCUAACGGUGACAUACUACAAAAUGGUGAUAUGAACUAUGGCUCAAACUCUGGUAGUCGUCGUACUCCUAACCGAUUACCCCCAGCCCCACCUGCUUCUUCAGGUUACAGAUUCUAGCUGUUGGUUGGCUGGCUUGCUGGCUAUCCAUCUUAAUCUUUUGAAGUGAGAUUUUGCUAAAGUGAAGAGAGAGAGAGAUAGAGGUGGGAUCGACCUCUAUCAUUGUGAGUCUUAUAGAAGUGAAUCUUGCCUCUUUUUCUCUUUUUUUCUCUUCACUUCAUCUUGAAGAGAUAACCAUUCAUGACUUAAUGGCAUUUAGUGAGGGUGGCUGGCAACUCUUGCUUGAGAUUAUACAUAGGGGGAGGGAGGAUUUUAGUCUUAUUGAUUCUUUGUUUUUGGCAGGGUAUACUUAGUGAUGCGAGAUGUUUGUGUACAUAGAAGACCAUAGUAUAUACAAUACACGGCUUUUCGGGCUUGUCCCAGUAUCAUGUAGACAAGACCAAGAUGAGCUUGAAUUCAUAGUUGUAUGGUAAUAUAAUGAAAGGAGGCAAACAAAAUUAAGACUCCCAAUUCUAACUGAGUUAUGCCGAGCGGGCACUUGGCGUGAGAGUGAGUCAGUUCAUUCAUGUUUCGUUUGAUAUUCGAUCGAUUCCGGCUAAUUUUGUAAAUAUAAACACUGAAUAUUAGUUAUACGGUUAUUGGUGGGGAUAUAAUGAUGAGACUUAGGUGUUUCUGAUAUUUAAAAUUAUA